UUGAACGCAGAGAUGUACGUCA
rnacentral:miRNA from 1 species